GGUUAUUCCGUUACGAACGAGACCUUAACCUGCUAACUAGUCUAUCUGUGAACAACAGAUUGUACUUCUUAGAGGGACUAUUGUGCAAGAAGCCAAUGGAAGUUUAAGGCAAUAACAGGUCUGUGAUGCCCCUAGACGUGCUCGGCCGCACGCGCGUUACAAUGACUGGCGCAGAAAGUAUUUCCUGUCCUGGGAAGGUACGGGUAAUCUUAUUAAUACCAGUCGUGUUAGGGAUAGUUCUUUGGAAUUUUGGAUCUUGAACGAGGAAUUUCUAGUAAGUGCAAGUCAUCAGCUUGCGUUGAUUAUGUCCCUGCCGUUUGUACACACCGCCCGUCGCUUGUAGUAACGAAUGGUCUGGUGAACCUUCUGGACUGAGACAGCAAUGUUUCGGAAAAAUAAGUAAACCCUACCAUUUGGAACAACAAGAAGUCGUAACAAGGUAUCUGUAGGUGAACCUGCAGAUGGAUCAUUA
rnacentral:rRNA from 1 species